UUUUCUUUUCUUUUUUUUUUUUUUUUUUUCUGUGCACUUUUUUUUCCACUUCCAUCAGCCCUGCCUUCCUUCCAUCAGUUAAGUCCGGGUUUUCUUUUUCGUUCUUCUCUUACAUACCCCCCCCCACCCCCCUCCCCAUUUGGAAAUAUUUGGCAGUUCACGUGGACCCCCCUCCAAAACAUCCACUUUCUACUUUAUUUAGUUCCCCCCUCACAUGCAACUUCAUCUGUAGAGUUAUUUCCUUCCCAGCCUGUCAGUGGAUUGUGAGCGUAAUGUUGCUUUUCGCUUGCUCUGAGCUACAAAGUUUUUGAGCGGUUUUGAAACAGAACUUUAGAAAAACAGAGGGGGACAGAGAUCUGGAAAUGGAAAUUUGAGUGAAUUUGCUUUGGCAUGAUUGACCUGUUAAAAAUAGAUUAAAAGGAGGAAGGGGAAGCAAAAUCCAGCUGCAAACUAUGCAAUGUUUCAGAAUCAUGGGCGGAGGGGGUUCUGUGUAGCCAGAUGGGUUUGGACUGCACCCGCAGAUCCAAAUGGAAAUCAUUUGAGCAGAGCUCACGGGAGGGGGGAAGUCCAGUACUUUUGCUAAAACAAAUUGAUGCUUCAAAAUAAGAUGCUUUUUUUUCUCUCUCUCUUAAAAAAAUUAACCCGUUCUUGGACUGAGAGGAACCUGUGAUUGUAUGCUAAUGCUUGCUGUUUGCCUGUUUCUCAGCUUGGUUAAGUUUUCCAGAUGAUUUUCCAAAGUUGUUGCUCAUCAUGAUAAACAAAGCAAAAGGUGACUUACCAUAUUUAUGUAUUUAUAAUAAAUAAAAGACAUGAAUAACCACUUUCUCUGUCCUACAUGUCUCUAAAAUCAGCUGGCAGUCCCUGCAAAACCCCUGCUGGAGUCAGGUAAAGCAGAAAUGGAUGAUGCAGGAGCAGCUGUGUGAACUUAGGGGAAUGAUCAGAAUACUUGGAAAAAUCUCAUGGAUAUUCAUCUUCUUAUCAGCAGGGAUUUGCAUUUUUUCUCCAGUUUCUCCUGAUUCAUGAGCACACAAAAAAACGUUGCUUAUGUCUGACUCUGAGUUAAGCAGGCAGGGGUUUAGGUUGUGUAUUCUGACACUUGCUGGGGAAUGCUGUGCCCUGAAAGUGGUGUAUUAACUGGAGUUAUUGUAACAGCGAGCUUAGCUCUGAGCUCCCCCAUGGAAACAUGGCAGGGACGGAAAUCACUUAAAAACUCUGCUUAUCCCUUUGGCUGGUUUUCUCUUCUAUCUACAGCUUGACCCUAGAUCUACAUCUGGGGUUUGGGCCACUCAAUAUCAUGACUGAGCUAACGAUCUCUUGCCAAAAUUGACUGUGUUUGUACAAAGUUACAAAGUGCGUUUUGCGCUGGCGGAGUUCUCCGUGUCGCUUGUGUUGGGUUACUUUGGUUUUCUGGUUUACGUUGUUCAACGCUUUGGUGCCUUGUAUGCUUCACUAGUAAUAUAAUAAUAAUAAUAAUAAUAAUAAUAAUAAUAAUAAUAGAGGUGCAUUCAGUGCUUUCUGUUUGGGUUGGAAAUACUCACCCAGUGUCAGAGCAACCACGUAAACUGGUACAGUCGCAGCCUCGGGGGCUCGAGCUGUCCGUGGCCAUUUGUGUUAGGAGUGGGGUGUAACUAUUUAAGGUUAUUAAACCAAUUUCCAUGCCUGUCGCUAGUGUUAUGCUAAUUUGAAAAGGACUGCCAUCCCUCUGAAGCGCUUGUCCAUGGCACUUAAUUUUAAUUAAUACAUUUCCAAAAGACUUUUUGUGUUUGGAAAACGAAGUGUGUGAUUAAGCCUUAUUCAUAAAGACAUAUGUUUAAAACUGGUUCCUGCUCACUUCCAUUUUUAUAUCUUCAUUUCUUUCCUGUAAUUAAAAAAAAGGGAAAAAAAUAGAGUAGUUUUACAGAACAAUUAAUCUCUUGUACCUUUUUCUGUAAAAGAAAAUUUUGAAAAUGCUCUUAAAGUAUAUCUGAUGAAGCAAAAUCAAACCAAAACCCCUACUGAAGCAAAAAUGACUGGAAACUGCAGAUCAGCAAAGGUCACUCAAAAUUUUGCAGACUAAGUUGUUGCUAGGAAAUAUUUGGGGAGAAAAAAAAAGGGCCAGUUAAACAAAGAAUUAUAAUUUUUAAGUAGAUGUAUGUUUCUUCUGGUUAAAAUUAAAGAAGAUUGAGAAUAUUUAAAUGGAGAUUAGCUUAACUGUUCAUUUUUCACCAAAACUAAAAUAGUUGGAGAAUAAAGUAUUUAACAGUUUAAUAUUUAAUUUGAGUUUGGUUUAGUUAAAAAUUAAGGCUAAAAAUAAUGGCAUUUGUAAUUGCUUCUUUGUCAAAUAAUUAUGGUCCAAAAAAGAAGUCUUACUAAUUUCAGAGUAUAAAAACUCUUCACAGUCUGAGACAAGCUAUUUUUGGAAUUGUGGGUUUUAGUACCAUGAUUGUUUUAAAUCUCUUCCUUUCAUUUAUGUCAGUAAAAACUUGCUCAUAGUAUCAUACCUACCUAGAAUCUUAAAAUUCUACCUUCUGAGAGUCCUUGAAAUAUUUAGAAAGCUCUUCAAGAGCCUGCUUGGAAUUCAAUUAUCUCAGGAGGCUAACUAAGGACUUUCAAAUAGAAAACACCUGCAUUAAACUUCUUUUUUUUUUUUUUUUUUUUAAGGAAAAAUAGCAAGUUUGACUGUUUAAGUCCUAUUAAAGGCCAGGUGUUAGAAACAAGUGCAGAAUUUAUCAAAACAAUACUAAAGGCAAUUAACCUUAAAGUACAACGGUUUCCAUUCAAAGGGAAAAGGAAGAAUUGUAACUUUUCAUGCAAUAAACAAUAUUAAACUCAAAGAAAGUUGACUAACUUCUCAGGUAACCUGGAAGUUCAGUGCUGUGAGCUGCUUCUGUCCCCGCUGGACUUGCAGGAAUUCAGCUGGUGCUGAGGUGGAGCCAGUUCUGAGCUCAGGGUGGGAAGGCAUCUGCUCCGGGGUGAUUCACACUGUGCUGAGCUGCUGCUGAAACUGCUACCAAGUGAAUGCCUAAUUCUUCUCAAAGAUGAUUUUGUUGAGAGGGGAUAAACAAGCAGCUGACCAUUGCAUUUGUGUGUGGGAAGCAUCAGUGCUGGCCUUGCAGAUGUGCAUGGUUAUCCUGAGGAUGAAGUCCUGUAUUUGUCAUUUGUUUUUCCCUUUCUCUGGCAUAUUUUGUGUACCAUGUAAGGUUUUAAGUGUCUCCAUCCAUUUGGUGUUUCAGAGAAUAUGAAGGGAGGACUUGAGAAAAAUUGAAGAUUUUUUUUUUCCUUCUCAAAUGUUCCUGUUAUGAUGCCUGCUCUUUUUUAUUUCCCCAAGAAGAAUUUAUUGUGUAUGCUCAGAUGGAACUGAAACAGAGAUCGUGUGUUCUAAUGUACUUAUUAUCCUGAUUUGUUCAUACUUGGAAGAAAACAUAAUGCCAACUUUAAAUUAAAUA
ensembl:lncRNA